UACGUAGGCAGCAAGCGUUGUUCGGAGUUACUGGGCGUAAAGGGUGUGUAGGCGGUUCUCUAAGUUUGGUGUGAAAUCCCCAGGCUCAACCUGGGAACUGCGUCUGAUACUGGAUGGCUUGAAUUCGGGAGAGGGAUGCAGAAUUCCAGGUGUAGCGGUGAAAUGCGUAGAUAUCAGGAGGAACACCGGUGGUGUAGACGGCUUUCUGGACCGUAACUGACGCUGAGACACGAAAGCGUGGGUAGCAAACAGG
rnacentral:rRNA from 1 species